AAAUAUAGUGUUGUAUCUCAUGCCUGCUAUUCUUUUAAUGACAUUGUGGGGCAAAAAGAUGAUCAUGUUGUUUGUAAUCAACAUUUAUAGGAACACUUCUCUCCAAUUCUUGAUAACUCCAAAUCUGAUAACAAUUCUGAGUUAAAUAUGCUGGAUUUCAAUUCAAUAGAUAGAGAAAGGUUGAAUGAAAAUAGUAAUUAUGUGGUAUUAGUUAUAAAUAGUUAGAAAAAUUUGUAUGAAGCAGGAUACAAUUAAAUCUAUUGAUGUAGAGUCAUUGUCGGAUGAUAGCAGUGAGGAAAGUGAUAGCAGUGUGGAAAGUAAACCUGAUAUUUUUCAUUUUUCUUAUAUUAUAAGAAAAUUGAAAAUUCAAUUUUCCAGACUAUGAAAAGAUGAAAAAGACUGAGGCUAAAUCUUUGUACUACACUGAUUUAAUUUCAAGUUGUUCAGAAAUAAAACAUGAUUUAAAGAGGAAAAAACUGAAAAAACAAUGGCAAAAAGUUCUGACAUUGCAAUCAAAAAAAAGAAAAAAAAGACCAAUUGAUCAGAAAAUUCUAAUUCUGACUCUUUGGAUAAUGAAAAUUUGGUACCACUUCUUCCCCCACCCCCAUGUAGACAGUCAACUUUCAAAACUUCCACAGAUUGAAUUGAUAAACCUUCGCCAGCUAGUUCUAGCACAAACAUCACAUCUGCAAUUUGUAAGUUUUGUAUUUAGAAUAAUAUUUUUGCAUAUAUUUUGUUCAAUUAUAUUUGCAAAAAGAUGUUCUUUUUAUAAUAGACUGCUUUUGAAAGUUACAAAAUACUAACUUUUUUAUUGUUCCUGGUGCUCUAAUAAGUUAGAGGGGCUUUUUUUAUUUUUUAUUUUGCAGCUUAACGUCUAUGAUUGCACACUUGUGUAGCUUGUAAAUGUAAAGAGUAAGAUGAAAUUGAGAACAGCAAAGUUACAAUUAUUAAAUUUAAGAUGUAAUUGAGAACAUGAAAGUUGUAAACUAGAUAUUGUAAGAUGAAAAUAUUGAAUCCAGUUUCCCACUGUAUUUCUUCUUGCUUCACAUAGUUCAGGAAGAAAUAUAAUAGGUUUUACAACUACAAAUCUCCUGUAAUUUUAUUCUUAUAUAGUUCUCAACUUUAAUUCUAUUCUUAUACACUCUCAACUUUUUUAAAACCCUAACACUAGAAAUUAUGUAAAAAUAAAGA